rnacentral:lncRNA from 1 species
CAGCCCGAGGAGACCCCCRCUCUGCAGCCUCGCAGUCAGAGCACGCCCGUUGCACCGGGAGGCUGGGCUCUGCUCCAGGCCCCCAGGCCAGACUGGUAUUUAAUCCAGGACUGCUGAAACACAGUCUCCGGAGGAGGGAUGGGUGCACAGACCACGAGGAUGCAGCCCCCGUGGGCGGUUSAGCAGGGCACCAAAGCAUCCAUGCGAAACAUGGGAGCACUGGGAUGGCCAAGGAGCGGGAACACGUUACCAUUAGCCAUGGUUUUCCCAUGCUUUCAACACAGGCUUGUGCACCCGGUGCAAGGGGAGAAACAAGCCCGGUGCUGCUUCCCGAACUCCCCCAGAUGGUCACCGAGCCCCUCAGGUGGCCGUGGGCACGGGUUUGCGGUGGGGCCCAGAGGGCAGCUGUGAACCACAACUCUUUUCCAUCCCUAGAUCCGACGACGCCGACCGACUCCGGCCAACCUGGUUCUAAGCAGCGACCAGUCGUCCCCAGAGCUGCAGAUGAUGGUGGAGCAUCACCUGUGCAAGCAGGCGCAGGGCGAGGAGGAGGAGGAGGAGGCGGCCGCCGCGGGGAGCCAGGACCAGCGCAGCCCCGGCUGCUGCCGCCACGGUGACACAGAGCACAGCCACAGCCCCGGCGGCACCUGCUCCCUGGCCCACGCUCAGCCCGCGCGCGAGGGCGGCCCUGCACCCGGCGCCAGUGAGUACGGCCCCGAUCCCAGCGGGAAAGGAGCCCUCGGCCGCUCUGCCCCUGCAUC